rnacentral:rRNA from 1 species
ACUCCGUACGGGAGGCAGCAGUAGGGAACUAUUGGACAAUGGGCGAGAGCCUGAUCCAGCCAUGCCGCGUGCAGGAAGACGGCCCUCUGGGUUGUAAACUGCUUUUAUAUGGGAAGAAAAGGGCUUUGCGAAGCACAUUGACGGUACCAUAGGAAUAAGCCUACGGCUAACUACGUGCCAGCAGCCGCGGUAAUACGUAGGUGGCGAGCGUUAUCCGGAUUUAUUGGGUUUAAAGGGUGCGUAGGCGGCUUUUUAAGUCGGUGGUUAAAGGUAGCAGCUCAACUGUUUUACAUGCCAUCGAUACUGAAGAGCUUGAGUUAUCAGAAGGCAGGCGGAAUUUCUGGUGUAGCGGUGAAAUGCAUAGAUACCAGAAGGAACACCUAUUGCGAAGGCAGCUUGCUGCAGAUAAACUGACGCUGAUGCACGAAAGCGUGGGGAGCGAACAGGAUUAGAUACCCUGGUAGCACAGAG